rnacentral:lncRNA from 1 species
AAAACUCGUCUCUACCAACUUGUGCUGCCGACCAGCCUUUUCCAUGGAGGCUGUCUCUUUCUUUCUCAUUUUUCAUGUUUUUUUCUUAAGAUUUCUCUAAAACUCAACACCCAAACCUUGAAUUUUUGUCAAAAUCACUUGGAAACUUAUUUCCACCUUCAAUUUUCCCCAUUUGCAGCAAGGGCCUAGUUGAGUCUUGAGAGAGAAAGUUGAAGCUAGAGAGAUAAAGUUUCAUUAAGGUAAGAAAUUGUGUUUUUCAUCUUCCCUAGUUUGAUAUUUGGUAUUAAUUACUUUGGGAAAGCUUUGAAAGAUUAUGUAUUAACAUUCUUGUCGUAUUUUUGUGCAUGAAAAUGAGGAAAUAUUGAGAAAUGAAAUCUCAAGCUUGGACACAAAUGAAUUCAAGUACUUGAAAGCUUGAUUUUGAGUAUUUAUGCAUCCAAGAAGUAAGUACCCUUAGAUACUCAUAUUUUAUUAUGAUAACAUGUUUAGGGAAUUUAAGAAUAUGUAUUAUAAAUAUGGAAAUAAGCAUGUGGAUGAAUGUUUGUAAGCUUUCACUAUUUAAAGUUUUGUAAUUGAGUAACUUGAGAACUUGAGUUUUAAUAAACCUUGCUUAUAAAAUGUUUUAUGAACUAAUAUUGUAUAGGGAAAAUUUGGUUGUCAUGGGAGGACUAAUAAACAUGAAUUGGGUAUGUACGAAUAUGUAAGAAAUGUGUAUGCCUAAAAGCUCGCAACUAAAAAAACCCUUAAGCAAACAAAACGCCCUUUUAUCGUUUCGCUGGUGCGGUCGACCUUAUACCAGUUGUUGCCCAACUUUCUUUUUUUGUCCUCCUUUUGUUUUUAAAGUUUUUUUCUUUUACUUUUCUCGUUUGUCUUUCUCUUUCCACCGACAAAAUAAUAUCUUGCCUUUCGCCUUCUAGUUCAUCGUCCUUUUACUAGCGAUUUGAGAAUUUUUUGUUGGCCAACUUGCAGGGGUCCUCCUCCUGUUAGCAGCUCCUGGCUUGGCCUGUGUUUUCUCUUCGAUUGCCCCCAUCUCAGUUUCUUGGUGUCACCUUCACCAUGGAUCCUCGAUGGAUGAAAUUGUUGGAGCCUAAAACUCGUCGCACCAAAUCUCUUGAAUGGUAAUUUAGUAAGGCAUGUACCUAGGCUUUCAUAAGAGUUAAGAAUAUUUUUUAAACUAUCAUGAUUGUAACACUCCUUGCUCGACUCGAUCGCCAAAUCCAAGCUACAGGAUGUCACAACCAUUGUUGGAGCAACGAUAAUCAAUUGCAACAUUUCUAUUCAUUCAACA